UACGUAGGGGCUAGCGUUAUCCGGAAUUACUGGGCGUAAAGGGUGCGUAGGUGGUUUCUUAAGUCAGAGGUGAAAGGCUACGGCUCAACCGUAGUAAGCCUUUGAAACUGGGAAACUUGAGUGCAGGAGAGGAGAGUGGAAUUCCUAGUGUAGCGGUGAAAUGCAUAGAUAUUACACAGAACACCGAUUGCGAAGGCAGCUUACUAAUCCAUCAUUGACGCUGAGGCACGAAAGCGUGGGGAUCAAACAGGAUUAGAUACCCUGGUAGU
rnacentral:rRNA from 1 species